GCGCUGAUGGAUCGGCCUACGUCGGAUUAGCUAGUUGGUAGGGUAAGGGCCUACCAAGGCGACGAUCCGUAGCUGGUCUGAGAGGAUGAUCAGCCACACUGGGACUGAGACACGGCCCAG
rnacentral:rRNA from 1 species